CUUAGAGUUUGAUCCUGGCUCAGGAUCAUCGCUGGCGGUAUGCUUAACACAUGCAAGUCGAACGGUGUCUUCGGACAUAGUGGCGGACGGGUGAGUAACGCGUGAGAAUCUAGCUUCAGGUCUGGGACAACCACUGGAAACGGUGGCUAAUACCGGAUGUGCCGGAAGGUGAAAGGCUUGCUGCCUGAAGAUGAGCUCGUGUCCGAUUAGCUAGUAGGUGGGGUAAGAGCCUACCUAGGCGACGAUCGGUAGCUGGUCUGAGAGGAUGACCAGCCACACUGGGACUGAGACACGGCCCAGACUCCUACGGGAGGCAGCAGUGGGGAAUUUUCCGCAAUGGGCGAAAGCCUGACGGAGCAAUACCGCGUGAGGGAGGAAGGCUCUUGGGUUGUAAACCUCUUUUCUCAGGGAAGAACACAAUGACGGUACCUGAGGAAUCAGCAUCGGCUAACUCCGUGCCAGCAGCCGCGGUAAUACGGAGGAUGCAAGCGUUAUCCGGAAUGAUUGGGCGUAAAGCGUCCGCAGGUGGCUGUGUAAGUCUGCUGUCAAAGAGCAAAGCUCAACUUUGUAAAGGCAGUGGAAACUACACGGCUAGAGUGCGUUCGGGGCAGAGGGAAUUCCUGGUGUAGCGGUGAAAUGCGUAGAGAUCAGGAAGAACACCGGUGGCGAAGGCGCUCUGCUAGGCCGCAACUGACACUGAGGGACGAAAGCUAGGGGAGCGAAUGGGAUUAGAUACCCCAGUAGUCCUAGCUGUAAACGA
rnacentral:rRNA from 1 species